rnacentral:rRNA from 1 species
CUGGCGGCGUGCCUAACACAUGCAAGUCGAACGAGAAAGUGGAGCAAUCCAUGAGUACAGUGGCGUACGGGUGAGUAACACGUGACUAACCUACCCUCGAGUGGGGAAUAACUUCGGGAAACCGAGGCUAAUACCGCAUAACAUCUACGGAUCAAAUGCGCAAGCAGCUUGAGGAGGGGGUCGCGGCUGAUUAGCUAGUUGGCGGGGUAACGGCCCACCAAGGCAAUGACCAGUAGCCGGCCUGAGAGGGCGCACGGCCACACUGGAACUGAAACACGGUCCAGACUCCUACGGGAGGCAGCAGUGGGGAAUUUUGCGCAAUGGGGGAAACCCUGACGCAGCAACGCCGCGUGGAGGAUGAAGCCCCUUGGGGUGUAAACUCCUUUCGAUCGGGACGAUUAUGACGGUACCGGAUGAAGAAGCACCGGCUAACUCUGUGCCAGCAGCCGCGGUAAUACAGAGGGUGCAAGCGUGGUUCGGAAUUAUUGGGCGUAAAGGGUGCGUACGCGGUGCGGUAAGUCUUCUGUGAAACCUCCGGGCUUAACUCGGAGCCUGCGGGGGAA